rnacentral:lncRNA from 1 species
GGUAUGAGAUCUGAUCUCAUAAAUUAAUUUUAGAUUUCAUAUGUCUUAGAUCUAUGUUAGGGAAGGUUUUAGAUCUGAUUUAAUGUAUAAUAAAAAUAGUUAAUCUAUUUUAUUUCGUUGUGAUUUCAAAAUAGUUUUGAAAUACAUGCAUGUAAUCUGCCCUUCCCUUUCUAACAGUUAGGGCACACAUCUAACAGCACCUAAAGUCC